UACGUAGGGUGCGAGCGUUGUCCGGAAUUAUUGGGCGUAAAGGGCUCGUAGGCGGCUUGUCACGUCGAUUGUGAAAGCCCGAGGCUUAACCUCGGGUCUGCAGUCGAUACGGGCUAGCUAGAGUGUGGUAGGGGAGAUCGGAAUUCCUGGUGUAGCGGUGAAAUGCGCAGAUAUCAGGAGGAACACCGGUGGCGAAGGCGGAUCUCUGGGCCAUUACUGACGCUGAGGAGCGAAAGCGUGGGGAGCGAACAGG
rnacentral:rRNA from 1 species